AAUUAGAAAUUAGAAUUUAUAUUUUAGUUAGGGGUUUUAUAUGUGUAUGUUUUUAUUAGGAAUAAAAGAAAUAGAAAUAGAAAAAUAGAAAUUAAUGAGGGAAUUAGAAAAAGGAAAAAAAGAAAGAAAAAGAUUUGAAAGUUGAUGAGUAAGUUGGGAGAAAGAAACGUGUAUUAUGGAAAAAAAAUUUGGAAAAAGAAUAAGGAAAAAAGAAAAUAGAAAUUUAAAAUUCAUCCAUCCUUCUCCUCUCUCUUUCACGCUCUCUCUCCAUGCUACUCUCUCCCUCUCCGUAAAGAUUUUCAACAGCCCUCUACUCCCUUCGAUCAGCCACCUCGAUUCCUCUGGCCGCUCCACCGUGAAACAUGUAACACACUCCAUCAAUCCAAGCUCUCAAUUCUCAUUCUUCCUCUCAAUUUUGGAGCUUAGGUUGCAGACCCACCUCCAUUUAUCUUUGGAAAAUAGUUGAAAUUAGAGAGUAUAGAAGAGAGUGAACUCGCUAGUUGGCAGCAGCACGUGUCAAGUCACUACCCCUUUUUGCUGGUAAAGUUGGAGUGCUCACUUGGCAUGCUUAGGCACUAACUUUUGGUUGUUUAUAGUUAGUUGGAGAUGUAAGGUUAUGUAACCUUCUUUUACAAUUGGGGUUGUAAAUAAUUAUCGAAGUAAGUUAUCAAUAUUUUGUUAUGUAUAGUAGUAAAUAGUUGUGUUA